CUCUUUGGGCAAAAAUCGUCAG
rnacentral:siRNA from 1 species